rnacentral:lncRNA from 1 species
GAAUCCUUCACAAAGCAGGCCGCAGGGACCGGAUGUCUUUAAGCAGCGACAGAAUUCGGUCCUAUGCUGUACUUCCUUCCUUCUCCUUCCUUUACAGGUGACAAAACCUCCCAGAUCUAAAAGUUGGAUAAAGUUAAAUAUCCUGCCUAAGGCAGAUGAAGGCAGCUGUGGCUAGGCCUCCACGGAACAUGGAAAGGGCUGCAAAGUCCAGGCAAAGAGCACUGGCUCCAGCCUCCACAAGUCCUCUGUCCUCCCCUCCAGCAGCACCAAGGACCACCAGGACUCGGGCUGUCAGCUGGCCUCUUCAGAACUCCUUCCUACAGGUCAAAUCUUCACCCUGGCAACCUCUCACCUUGACAACAGUCCUGAAACCUGCUUGCUCGGGGUGGAGCUUCCUGCUCAUUCGUUCUGCCACGCCCACUGCUGGAACCUGAGGAGCCACACACGUGCACCUUUCUACUGGACCAGAGAUUAUUCGGCGGGAAUCGGGUCCCCUCCCCCUUCCUUCAUAACUGGUGUCGCAACAAUAAAAUUUGAGCCUUGAUCAGAGUAA